GAUGAACGCUGGCGGCGUGCCUAAUACAUGCAAGUCGAGCGAACAGACGAGGAGCUUGCUCCUCUGACGUUAGCGGCGGACGGGUGAGUAACACGUGGAUAACCUACCUAUAAGACUGGGAUAACUUCGGGAAACCGGAGCUAAUACCGGAUAAUAUAUUGAACCGCAUGGUUCAAUAGUGAAAGACGGUUUUGCUGUCACUUAUCGAUGGAUCCGCGCCGCAUUAGCUAGUUGGUAAGGUAACGGCUUACCAAGGCAACGAUGCGUAGCCGACCUGAGGGGGUGAUCGGCCACCCUGGAACUGAGCCACGGUCCAGACUCCUACGGGACGCCGCAGUAGGGAAUCUUCCGCAGUGGGCGAAAGCCUGACGGAGCAACGCCGCGUGAGUGAUGAAGGUCUUCGGAGCGUAAAGCUCUGUUAUUAGGGAAAAACAAAUGUGUAAGUAACUAUGCACGUCUUGACGGUACCUAAUCAGAAAGCCACGGCUAACUACGUG
rnacentral:rRNA from 1 species